rnacentral:rRNA from 1 species
AACCGUUAUAACCGGCGAUACCCGAAUGGGGAAACCCAGUGUGAUUCGUCACACUAUCAUUAACUGAAUCCAUAGGUUAAUGAGGCGAACCGGGGGAACUGAAACAUCUAAGUACCCCGAGGAAAAGAAAUCAACCGAGAUUCCCCCAGUAGCGGCGAGCGAACGGGGAGGAGCCCAGAGCCUGAAUCAGCAUGUGUGUUAGUGGAAGCGUCUGGAAAGGCGCGCGAUACAGGGUGACAGCCCCGUACACAAAAGCGCAUGUGCUGUGAGCUCGAUGAGUAGGGCGGGACACGUGGUAUCCUGUCUGAAUAUGGGGGGACCAUCCUCCAAGGCUAAAUACUCCUGACUGACCGAUAGUGAACCAGUACCGUGAGGGAAAGGCGAAAAGAACCCCGGCGAGGGGAGUGAAAAAGAACCUGAAACCGUGUACGUACAAGCAGUGGGAGCACCCUUUGGGUGUGACUGCGUACCUUUUGUAUAAUGGGUCAGCGACUUAUAUUCUGUAGCAAGGUUAACCGAAUAGGGGAGCCGGAGGGAAACCGAGUCUUAAUUGGGCGUUAAGUUGCAGGGUAUAGACCCGAAACCCGGUGAUCUAGCCAUGGGCAGGUUGAAGGUUGGGUAACACUAACUGGAGGACCGAACCGACUAAUGUUGAAAAAUUAGCGGAUGACCUGUGGCUGGGGGUGAAAGGCCAAUCAAACCGGGAGAUAGCUGGUUCUCCCCGAAAGCUAUUUAGGUAGCGCCUCGUGAAUUCAUCUCCGGGGGUAGAGCACUGUUUCGGCUAGGGGGCCAUCCCGGCUUACCAACCCGAUGCAAACUGCGAAUACCGGAGAAUGUUAUCACGGGAGACACACGGCGGGUGCUAACGUCCGUCGUGAAGAGGGAAACAACCCAGACCGCCAGCUAAGGUCCCAAAGUCAUGGUUAAGUGGGAAACGAUGUGGGAAGGCCCAGACAGCCAGGAUGUUGGCUUAGAAGCAGCCAUCAUUUAAAGAAAGCGUAAUAGCUCACUGGUCGAGUCGGCCUGCGCGGAAGAUGUAACGGGGCUAAACCAUGCACCGAAGCUGCGGCAGCGACGCUUAUGCGUUGUUGGGUAGGGGAGCGUUCUGUAAGCCUGCGAAGGUGGCCUGUGAGGGUUGCUGGAGGUAUCAGAAGUGCGAAUGCUGACAUAAGUAACGAUAAAGCGGGUGAAAAGCCCGCUCGCCGGAAGACCAAGGGUUCCUGUCCAACGUUAAUCGGGGCAGGGUGAGUCGACCCCUAAGGCGAGGCCGAAAGGCGUAGUCGAUGGGAAACGGGUUAAUAUUCCCGUACUUGGUGUUACUGCGAAGGGGGGACGGAGAAGGCUAUGUUGGCCGGGCGACGGUUGUCCCGGUUUAAGCGUGUAGGUGUGUGUUCCAGGUAAAUCCGGUUCACUUUAACACUGAGGCGUGACGACGAGGCACUACGGUGCUGAAGCAACAAAUGCCCUGCUUCCAGGAAAAGCCUCUAAGCAUCAGGUAACAUCAAAUCGUACCCCAAACCGACACAGGUGGUCAGGUAGAGAAUACCAAGGCGCUUGAGAGAACUCGGGUGAAGGAACUAGGCAAAAUGGUGCCGUAACUUCGGGAGAAGGCACGCUGACACGUAGGUGAAGUGAUUUACUCAUGGAGCUGAAGUCAGUCGAAGAUACCAGCUGGCUGCAACUGUUUAUUAAAAACACAGCACUGUGCAAACACGAAAGUGGACGUAUACGGUGUGACGCCUGCCCGGUGCCGGAAGGUUAAUUGAUGGGGUCAGCGCAAGCGAAGCUCCUGAUCGAAGCCCCGGUAAACGGCGGCCGUAACUAUAACGGUCCUAAGGUAGCGAAAUUCCUUGUCGGGUAAGUUCCGACCUGCACGAAUGGCGUAAUGAUGGCCAGGCUGUCUCCACCCGAGACUCAGUGAAAUUGAACUCGCUGUGAAGAUGCAGUGUACCCGCGGCAAGACGGAAAGACCCCGUGAACCUUUACUAUAGCUUGACACUGAACAUUGAGCCUUGAUGUGUAGGAUAGGUGGGAGGCUUUGAAGUGUGGACGCCAGUCUGCAUGGAGCCGACCUUGAAAUACCACCCUUUAAUGUUUGAUGUUCUAACGUGGACCCGUUACCCGGGUUGCGGACAGUGUCUGGUGGGUAGUUUGACUGGGGCGGUCUCCUCCUAAAGAGUAACGGAGGAGCACGAAGGUUGGCUAAUCCUGGUCGGACAUCAGGAGGUUAGUGCAAUGGCAUAAGCCAGCUUGACUGCGAGCGUGACGGCGCGAGCAGGUGCGAAAGCAGGUCAUAGUGAUCCGGUGGUUCUGAAUGGAAGGGCCAUCGCUCAACGGAUAAAAGGUACUCCGGGGAUAACAGGCUGAUACCGCCCAAGAGUUCAUAUCGACGGCGGUGUUUGGCACCUCGAUGUCGGCUCAUCACAUCCUGGGGCUGAAGUAGGUCCCAAGGGUAUGGCUGUUCGCCAUUUAAAGUGGUACGCGAGCUGGGUUUAGAACGUCGUGAGACAGUUCGGUCCCUAUCUGCCGUGGGCGCUGGAGAACUGAGGGGGGCUGCUCCUAGUACGAGAGGACCGGAGUGGACGCAUCACUGGUGUUCGGGUUGUCAUGCCAAUGGCACUGCCCGGUAGCUAAAUGCGGAAGAGAUAAGUGCUGAAAGCAUCUAAGCACGAAACUUGCCCCGAGAUGAGUUCUCCCUGAGACUUAGAGUCUCCUGAAGGAACGUUGAAGACGACGACGUUGAUAGGCCGGGUGUGUAAGCGCAGCGAUGCGUUGAGCUAACCGGUACUAAUGAACCGUGAGGCUUAACCUUACAACGCCGAAG